CAGUAGCCGCGGGAAUACGAAGGGGGCUAGCGUUGCUCGGAAUGACUGGGCGUAAAGGGCGCGUAGGCGGCGAUCAAAGUCAGGCGUGAAAUUCCUGGGCUCAACCUGGGGGCUGCGUUUGAUACUUGAUUGCUAGAGUGGGGAAGAGGGUCGUGGAAUUCCCAGUGUAGAGGUGAAAUUCGUAGAUAUUGGGAAGAACACUGGUGGCGAAGGCGGCGACCUGGUCCUUGACUGACGCUGAGGCGCGAAAGCGUGGGGAGCAAACAGGAUUAGAGACCCCCGUAGUCCCUGUCUCUUAUAC
rnacentral:rRNA from 1 species